rnacentral:rRNA from 1 species
UGCAGUCGAGCGGAACGAUCCCAGCUUGCUGGGAGGCGUCGAGCGGCGGACGGGUGAGUAAUGCAUAGGAAUCUGCCCGAUAGUGGGGGAUAACCUGAGGAAACUCAGGCUAAUACCGCAUACGUCCUACGGGAGAAAGCAGGGGCUCUUCGGACCUUGCGCUAUCGGAUGAGCUUAUGUCGGAUUAGCUGGUUGGUGAGGUAACGGCUCACCAAGGCGACGAUCCGUAGCUGGUCUGAGAGGAUGAUCAGCCACAUCGGGACUGAGACACGGCCCGAACUCCUACGGGAGGCAGCAGUGGGGAAUAUUGGACAAUGGGGGCAACCCUGAUCCAGCCAUGCCGCGUGUGUGAAGAAGGCCCUCGGGUUGUAAAGCACUUUCAGUGAGGAAGAAUGCUUGUCGGUUAAUACCCGGCAAGGGAGACAUCACUCACAGAAGAAGCACCGGCUAACUCCGUGCCAGCAGCCGCGGUAAUACGGAGGGUGCGAGCGUUAAUCGGAAUUACUGGGCGUAAAGCGCGCGUAGGCGGCUUGAUAAGCCGGUUGUGAAAGCCCCGGGCUCAACCUGGGAACGGCAUCCGGAACUGUCAGGCUAGAGUGCAGGAGAGGAAGGUAGAAUUCCCGGUGUAGCGGUGAAAUGCGUAGAGAUCGGGAGGAAUACCAGUGGCGAAGGCGGCCUUCUGGACUGACACUGACGCUGAGGUGCGAAAGCGUGGGUAGCAAACAGGAUUAGAUACCCUGGUAGUCCACGCCGUAAACGAUGUCGACUAGCCGUUGGGGUCCUCGAGACCUUUGUGGCGCAGUUAACGCACUAAGUCGACCGCCUGGGGAGUACGGCCGCAAGGUUAAAACUCAAAUGAAUUGACGGGGGCCCGCACAAGCGGUGGAGCAUGUGGUUUAAUUCGAUGCAACGCGAAGAACCUUAC